AUGGCGGCGGCGGCGGCCGUGGUGUCCGGUGCAGGCGCGGGGGGCCCGGGCACGGCAGGGGGUGGCGGCGGGGCGCGCGAGGGCGCGCGGGUGGCAGCGCUGUGCCUGCUGUGGUACGCGCUGAGCGCGGGCGCAACGUGGUCAAUAAGGUGAUCCUGAGCGCCUUCCCGAUCCCCGUGACCGUGUCGCUGUGCCACAUCCUGGCGCUGUGUGCCGGGCUCCCUCCGCUGCUGCGCGCCUGGCCUGGCGUGUGCCCCCGCGCCGCCUGUGUCGGGCCCUGGGCCCGGCCCGCAUCCGUCGUCCUGCCCGCUGCUGCCGCCGCGCUUUUACCCGCGCUACCUGCUGCCGCUCGCCUUGGGCAAGUACUUCGCGUCCCUGUCGGCGCACGUCAGCAUCUGGAAGGUGCCAGUGUCCUACGCGCACACCGUCAAGGCCACCAUGCCCAUCUGGGUGGUCCUGCUGUCCCGGAUCAUCAUGAAGGAGAAGCAGAGCACCAAGGUGUACCUGUCCCUCAUCCCCAUCAUCAGUGGCGUCCUACUGGCUGCCGUCACCGAGCUGUCGUUCGACAUGUGGGGACUCAUCAGCGCCCUCGUGGCCACGCUCUGCUUCUCACUGCGGAACAUCUUCUCCAAGAAGGUGUUGGGAGACUCUCGGAUCCACCACCUGCGGCUGCUGAACAUUCUGGGCUUUCACGCCGUCUUCUUCAUGAUCCCCACGUGGGUUCUGGUGGACCUCUCGGCUUUCCUGGUCAGCAGCGACUUGACGUACGUGUCCCAGUGGCCCUGGACGCUCCUGCUUCUGGCUGUCAGCGGCUUCUGUAACUUCGCCCAGAAUGUCAUCGCCUUCAGCAUCCUCAACCUCAUCAGCUCCCUGAGCUACUCUGUCGCCAAUGCCACCAAGAGAAUCAUGGUCAUCACGGUGUCCCUCAUCAUGCUGCGCAACCCGGUCACCAGCACCAACGUCCUGGGCAUGAUGACGGCCAUCUUGGGCGACUUCCUCUACAACAAGACCAAAUAUGAUGCAAACCACCAAGCCCGGAGACACCUCCUCCCUGUCUCCACGGCACCUGGGCAGCAAGGAGCAUCUGCGGAGCCGCUGCAGAAGCCCCACAACCGCAUCCUCUUCCCCCAGCAUGGUGACUAUUAGUAUGGCCGCAGCAGCGUCCUGACGGAUCACUUUCAGUACAGCCGCCAGAGCCACCCGAACUCAUACACCCUGAACAGCUUCGACGUGUAG